rnacentral:rRNA from 1 species
ACCGCAUAAUGUCGCAAGACCAAAGAGGGGGACCUUCGGGCCUCUUGCCAUCGGAUGUGCCCAGAUGGGAUUACCUAGUUGGUGAGGUAACGGCUCACCAAGGCGACGAUCCCUAGCUGGUCUGAGAGGAUGACCAGCCACACUGGAACUGAGACACGGUCCAGACUCCUACGGGAGGCAGCAGUGGGGAAUAUUGCACAAUGGGCGCAAGCCUGAUGCAGCCAUGCCGCGUGUAUGAAGAAGGCCUUCGGGUUGUAAAGUACUUUCAGCGGGGAGAAGGGGUUAAGGUUAAUAACCUUAGCCAUUGACGUACCCGCAGAAUAAGCACCGGCUAACUCCGUGCCAGCAGCCGCGGUAAUACGGAGGGUGCAAGCGUUAAUCGGAAUUACUGGGCGUAAAGCGCACGCAGGCGGUCUGUCAAGUCGGAUGUGAAAUCCCCGGGCUCAACCUGGGAACUGCAUUCGAAACUGGCAGGCUUGAGUCUCGUAAGGGGGGGUAGAAUUCCAGGUGUAGCGGUGAAAUGCGUAGAGAUCUGGAGGANUACCGGUGGCGAAGGCGGCCCCUUGGACGAAGACUGACGCUCCAGGUGCGAAAGCGUGGGGAGCAAACAAGGAUUAGAUACCCUGGUAGUCCACGCCGUAAACGAUGUCUAUUUGGAGGUUGUGCCCUUGAGGCGUGGCUUCCGGAGCUAACGCGUUAAAUAGACCGCCUGGGGAGUACGGCCGCAAGGUUAAAACUCAAAUGAAUUGACGGGGGCCCGCACAAGCGGUGGAGCAUGUGGUUUAAUUCGAUGCAACGCGAAGAACCUUACCUGGUCUUGACAUCCACAGAACUUGGCAGAGAUGCCUUGGUGCCUUCGGGAACUGUGAGACAGGUGCUGCAUGGCUGUCGUCAGCUCGUGUUGUGAAAUGUUGGGUUAAGUCCCGCAACGAGCGCAACCCUUAUCCUUUGUUGCCAGCGGUCCGGCCGGGAACUCAAAGGAGACUGCCAGUGAUAAACUGGAGGAAGGUGGGGAUGACGUCAAGUCAUCAUGGCCCUUACGACCAGGGCUACACACGUGCUACAAUGGCAUAUACAAAGAGAAGCGACCUCGCGAGAGCAAGCGGACCUCAUAAAGUAUGUCGUAGUCCGGAUUGGAGUCUGCAACUCGACUCCAUGAAGUCGGAAUCGCUAGUAAUCGUGGAUCAGAAUGCCACGGUGAAUACGUUCCCGGGCCUUGUACACACCGCCCGUCACACCAUGGG